AAUGAUAACUACAACAAUUAUUAUCAUCACCUGAGAUGCAGCAACAUGUGAACUGUGAAGUCAUCAAGAUAUAUUGAGUCUCCAAUUUCAUGGCGUCUCUGCGGUGACUUUAGAGUCUUCCUAUGUCGUGAUUUUUCUCCUACCAUUUAUCGUAAUCCCUUUUCCAUAGAAGCAAACGAAACGCACCCACUUUUUCAAGGAAAUCCAGCAACUUUACUGGAAAAUUUUUCUCUUUUAUUGUUUUUCCCCGGAAAAUCUGUAAUGGGAAAUUGUGGAUUGUUUGAUCUAGAGAAGCAUUUUGCCUUCUAUGGUGCAUACCAUAGUAAUCCGAUCAACAUAGCGAUUCACAUGAUAUUUGUUUGGCCAAUCUUUUUCACUGCUCUUCUUAUUCUUUACUUUACCCCUUCUCUGUUUAACCUCAAGUUCUCUCUGUUUGGUAACGAUGUUUUUCUGCUUUUCAAUUUUGGUUUCUUGUUUACUUUGAUCUAUGCUUUGUUUUAUAUCUGUCUGGAUGCGAAAGCUGGUUCCUUGGCUGCUCUGCUUUGUGCUUUUUGUUGGGUGGCUAGUAGUUUUGUGGCUAGCUGGCUUGGGUUUUCUCUUGCUUGGAAGGUAAAUUUUGUGUUUUAAUUAGUUUUUUUUUCAUAAUCAAUUUAAUAUUGGUUCUCUUUUUUCUCCGUCCAAAUUGAUGCUAUAUGGAAGUUUUCCUCGAAAGUUGAUCAUCUGUGCUUGUUCAUCUGGAAAUUAAAUUUGCUUGUUCUGUGUUUGUGGUCUAAGGAAAAAACUGCAGAAGAAUCAUAAUUAGGUUUUGAAUAGUAUUUGUUUGAUGCUAUUGACAGAGUUUUUCCUCCAUGGAAAUUGAAAAUUGUAAAUCAGUCAAUUGCACGCCAAAUAGAGGCAUUGGGCUUGAAAAUGUUAGCAGUAACAAUGGUAUUGAUAUUUUUUUGUACCCUCAUAAUGAAAUUGUUCACUCCCUUUAUCGGGUGGAAUUUUCUUUAGUUUUGUUUCAGUUGGUUCCUUAAAUCAUCAUGGGUGUUGGUUACUUUUAUGUGUCAGGUUUACAUCAUAUUUGAAAUUAAGACUAGGUGGCUAUUGAAAUUUCAACAAAUAACUAUCUAUAUGCUUUGUGCUUUUUAAUUUCCCUCAUCAACGAAUUUAACAAUUGCUCCUUUAAAGUCAGGGUGGUUCUGUGUGUCACAAUGUUAUGGCAUUUUCAUCUUUCAUUAUUGGUUGUUCUUGCAUUUAUUUAUUUCCUUGCUGCAAAUUAGAUUAUGCUUAGUUUAUAGUUUUGUUUCUUUUUAAUUACGCUAGGGAGAUAAAUUGGAGAUAGUCUUGUCAAUAGAUUAGGUUAUGUUUUGUGUUUGUCAAGCAAAGUUUGUUCUUUGUUUGCUAAGCAGUUUACCUCUUUCUUAUAGUGCAGCUGUAAUAUCAAUUUUUUUAGCACAUAAUUAUAUCAUUUUUUAUUCAUUUUUUUAGCAAGUGCCAAAUUAGUUAUGGAGAAGUAUCUUUUUGCUUUUCGAUUUUAAUAGAGAUCCUGUGAAAUAAAGUUUUUGUUUACUUUAGAAGCAUAAACUAUAUGUAGUAGAACAGUUCAUGGUUAAAUUCUAUUUUCUUUCUUUAUUUCGUUCUCUUAAACUUAUGUUUAACAAAUAGCUAGCAAAAAUGUUACAAUUAACUGCAUGAUCAGGAAUUGGACAUGGAUGGUGGAAUCUUUGUUUUAGAGUUUCCUUCUUCCUCCUGACUUCAUGUUGUUAUUCUGUAUGUAAAUUUGUAUUUGGAAUAUAGUUGAUAUAUUUGUAUAUGGAAUAUAGUUGAUAUAGCUCACGUCCUCUGAAAGAUCUCAAUUCAUAGCUACUACCCCUUUGAUGGGAAAUGCAUCACAAAACUUUAAUUAGAGGGCUCAUUCACAAUAUGAAAAUAUAUCAUAUAUUGUGGAAUGCAUAUCAUACUCCAUAUCCAGAUUUCUUGUAAAGUCAACUGAUGCAUCAUUUGAAUUCAUUAUUUUUCUUUCCAUGCCACAAGGGAUGCUGAGAAGUUGAGAUUGAGAAAAGGAUAGAUUUGAUGCAGUUUAACGAGACUUGCAUAUUUUUAUCAGAUAAAUGAGAUGGAGAUCAUAAAAAUCUUGAAUCAACAAAAUAACUGGUUUUCUUGGAUUUUUUGAAGCCUUCAACAUUAGUAGUGUGAUAUUGACUAUGGGACCACUUGCUUCUAAAGAGAAUUUGUUCACUGUAAUUUGAUGUUUUGAUAGUUAUAUGUGUGUGUGUGUUUUUAUAUAUUACACUUAUUCACCUUUUGUUCACACAAAUGUUUUGCAGGUUGUUCUGGUGGCUCAAAUUGUUUGUUGGGCUGGACAGUUCAUUGGCCAUGGUGUCUUUGAGAUAAAUUUUCUUUCUGUGAUUUGUAAAUACAUUAAUGGCUUCCCAUCAUAUCUUUUCUGUAAUUUGUAAAUACAUCAAUGACUUCCCAUUGUAUAUUUUCAAUUAAUAUCCUGCAGAAAGGAGCACCAGCUUUUUUGGACAAUCUUUCUCUAGCCCUUAUAAUGGCUCCCUUCUUUGUGCUUCUGGAGACUCUUCAAGCAUUCCUUGAUUAUGAACCAUGUCCAGGGUUUCAUGAAAAUGUUCAAGCAAUGAUUAAAGCUGAAAUGAAUGAGUGGCAAGAGAAGAAGCAGAAGUUGCUCAAGUAAUUUAAACUGUGGUCUGUGUGCAAUUUACAUUAUUGAGCGGUAUAGUUCCUGUAACUGGAAGAAACCAAACCAGACUAUAUCACAUACUUUCUAUAUAUCAUCAUAGAAAAUCUACUUAAGAACCAUAUAAAUAUGAAUAUUCAUUGUUAUACAUUUUGUAGCUCAAGGAAACUCUCACUUCUUUGACCUUUAUUUCUUUGGAUACUUGCAUGAAAUUCAAUAAGAAAUGAACUAAAAGGUCAAAGCAUAGAUCUAAACUUUUCCUUGAACUUCAUUUACUUUGCAAUGUGGUCCCUAAGCCACAUUUCUGUGGAGUUAGAGAAUUGAACAAUAAAGGUUGUAAAAUUUUUGCCUUUCGAUUAUCUAAAUUACCCUUUAGUGGUAAGCUGGAGCUUGUGUGAAACUAUUUUGUAAAUUAUUAUUUUUUUUUUUUAAAUGCUAAUAUAGCAAGUGGGUUAAGUGGAUUUUAGUUGGAUCUACUAAAAUUAUGAACUAAUUGUCAAAACUCAUAUUUAUUACAUAACACUACAAUAAAUUGUUAGUAGUUGUAAAGAAAAAUCAAUUAUCAAUGCCUUAAAAAAAAAGUGGAAUGCCAAAUGAGCAUCCGUUAUGAGUUAACUACCAAUCUACAAGCCUAAACCACUGCAAAACCAGGUGCUGAAAAGAAUGAUGGUAAUGGUUUUGUAACGGGGAUUAGUUUAAGUCGCUAUAUGGUAUAAAUUAUUGUAAUUUUUGUUAUGAAGGCACUUUUGCAUAAAAUUGUCGUAUAAGGAUCCUAUUGUAGAAGCCAAUAUAUUCAGGAAAGAAGAUCUAGACUGGUUCCAAAAUUCAUGAUCCUGGCUUUUGCAGCUGCUAUUAGUAGCAAUUGUAGUUCUAAUGAGAUUUUAGGAUUCUGGAAGUCAGGCAUGAUAAAAGUUGUAGAAGUGAUAUUAGUAACAAGAAUGUUUUUAAUCUUGGAACAAUUUAUUAGUCACUGCUUGAGCUAAUUGUUUCCGAUAUGGAUUGAAACAGCAUGCUCCUGAUAUGAACAUGGAUUAACAAGAAAAUCAUGGCCUCUAGUUGUUGUAUCUUAUCCUUAUGAAAGCCUGGACGCUCUAAGCUUCAAGCCAUGUGCCAUUGAUAGAAUUGUCAUCAUCCUGUAUUGCACUGGAUGAUUAGGGACCAAGUCAAAUUUGAAAAAUCUACAGAGUAUGGCCAGUGUCAUCUUCAUCUGGAGAUAUGCAGAGUCCUUACCAAGGCAUAUUCUUGGUCCAGCCUAAACAUUAAAAUAAGGACUAUAAGCACUCACUUUUCUCUUCGUAGUAUCUUUUUUUUGAAAGGGUUAAAUCUCUUAUAGCUUACCUGAAAUGCAGUGAACUUGA
rnacentral:misc_RNA from 1 species